UACGUAGGGCGCAAGCGUUGUCCGGAAUUAUUGGGCGUAAAGAGCUCGUAGGUGGCUUGUCACGUCGGGUGUGAAAGCUUGGGGCUUAACUCCAGGUCUGCAUUCGAUACGGGCUGGCUAGAGGUAGGUAGGGGAGAACGGAAUUCCUGGUGUAGCGGUGAAAUGCGCAGAUAUCAGGAGGAACACCGGUGGCGAAGGCGGGUCUCUGGGCAAUAACUGACGCUGAGGAGCGAAAGCGUGGGGAGCGAACAGG
rnacentral:rRNA from 1 species